CUACGGGAUGCUCCAGUGGGGAAUAUUGGACAAUGGGCGCAAGCCUGAUCCAGCAAUGCCGCGUGAGUGAAGACGGCCUUAGGGUUGUAAAACUCUUUCGCUAGGGAAGAUAAUGACUGUACCUAGUAAAGAAGUCCCGGCUAACUCCGUGCCAGCAGCCGCGGUAAUACGGAGGGGACUAGCGUUGUUCGGAAUUACUGGGCGUAAAGAGUUCGUAGGCGGACUGACAAGUUAGAGGUGAAAUCCCAGGGCUCAACCCUGGAACUGCCUUUAAAACUGUCAGUCUAGAGACCGGAAGAGGUUAGGGGAAUACCUAGUGUAGAGGUGAAAUUCGUAGAUAUUAGGUGGAACACCAGUGGCGAAGGCGCCUAACUGGUCCGGUACUGACGCUGAGGAACGAAAGCGUGGGGAGCAAACAGGAUUAGAUACCCCCGUAGUC
rnacentral:rRNA from 1 species